rnacentral:rRNA from 1 species
GACGAACGCUGGCGGCGUGCUUAACACAUGCAAGUCGAACGGAAAGGCCCUGCUUUUGUGGGGUGCUCGAGUGGCGAACGGGUGAGUAACACGUGAGUAACCUGCCCUUGACUUUGGGAUAACUUCAGGAAACUGGGGCUAAUACCGGAUAGGAGCUCCUGCUGCAUGGUGGGGGUUGGAAAGUUUCGGCGGUUGGGGAUGGACUCGCGGCUUAUCAGCUUGUUGGUGGGGUAGUGGCUUACCAAGGCUUUGACGGGUAGCCGGCCUGAGAGGGUGACCGGCCACAUUGGGACUGAGAUACGGCCCAGACUCCUACGGGAGGCAGCAGUGGGGAAUAUUGCACAAUGGGCGGAAGCCUGAUGCAGCAACGCCGCGUGCGGGAUGACGGCCUUCGGGUUGUAAACCGCUUUCGCCUGUGACGAAGCGUGAGUGACGGUAAUGGGUAAAGAAGCACCGGCUAACUACGUGCCAGCAGCCGCGGUGAUACGUAGGGUGCGAGCGUUGUCCGGAUUUAUUGGGCGUAAAGGGCUCGUAGGUGGUUGAUCGCGUCGGAAGUGUAAUCUUGGGGCUUAACCCUGAGCGUGCUUUCGAUACGGGUUGACUUGAGGAAGGUAGGGGAGAAUGGAAUUCCUGGUGGAGCGGUGGAAUGCGCAGAUAUCAGGAGGAACACCAGUGGCGAAGGCGGUUCUCUGGGCCUUUCCUGACGCUGAGGAGCGAAAGCGUGGGGAGCGAACAGGCUUAGAUACCCUGGUAGUCCACGCUGUAAACGGUGGGUACUAGGUGUGGGGUCCAUUCCACGGGGUUCCGUGCCGUAGCUAACGCUUUAAGUACCCCGCCUGGGGAGUACGGCCGCAAGGCUAAAACUCAAGGGAAUUGACGGGGCCCCGCACAAGCGGCGGAGCAUGCGGAUUAAUUCGAUGCAACGCGUAGAACCUUACCUGGGUUUGACAUGGAUCGGGAGUGCCCAGAGAUGGGUGUGCCUCUUUUGGGGUCGGUUCACAGGUGGUGCAUGGCUGUCGUCAGCUCGUGUCGUGAGAUGUUGGGUUAAGUCCCGCAACGAGCGCAACCCUUGUUCACUGUUGCCAGCAUGUUAUGGUGGGGACUCAGUGGAGACCGCCGGGGUCAACUCGGAGGAAGGUGGGGAUGACGUCAAGUCAUCAUGCCCCUUAUGUCCAGGGCUUCACGCAUGCUACAAUGGCUGGUACAGAGAGUGGCGAGCCUGUGAGGGUGAGCGAAUCUCGGAAAGCCGGUCUCAGUUCGGAUUGGGGUCUGCAACUCGACCUCAUGAAGUCGGAGUCGCUAGUAAUCGCAGAUCAGCAACGCUGCGGUGAAUACGUUCCCGGG